ACAUUCACAGUAUUGUUUGGGCAGUAUCAGUAUAUUGGAGACCCAUACUGCGUGGUAUUUAUUUUGUAGGAGAAGACACGAGAGCAGAAAGAAGUAGAUCUCAUUCCUAAAGUCCAGGAGGCUGUGAACUAUGGCUUACAAGUAUUGGACAGUGCCUUUGAGCAACUUGAUAUCAAAGCAGGAAACUCAGACUCCGAGGAAGAUGAUGCUAAUGGGCGGGUGGAACUGAUCCUUGAACCAAAGUAGAGACGGGGUUUCAUCAUGGUGACCAGGCUGGUCUUGAACUCCUGACCUCAAGUGAUCCGCCCGCCUCGGCCUCCCAAAAGUGCUGGGAUUACAGGAUCUAUACAUUGAUCGUCCUUUACCAUAUCUCAUUGGGUCAAAGCUGUUCAUGGAACAAGAAGAUGUAGGUCUUGGAGAGCUGUCCAGUGAAGAAGGCUCUGUAGGCAGUGAUCGUGGCAGUAUUGUGGACACUGAGGAAGAGAAAGAAGAGGAGGAGUCAGAUGAAGAUUUUGCCCAUCACGGUGACAAUGAACAAAACCGGCACACCACACAAAUGAGUGAUGAGGAAGAGGAUGAUGAUGGCUGUGACCUUUUCGCUGACUCUGAGAAGGAGGAGGAAGAUAUUGAGGACAUUGAAGAAAAUACUAGACCUAAAAGAAGCAGACCUACAUCGUUUGCAGAUGAGCUGGCUGCCCGCAUCAAGGGGGAUGCCGUGGGCCGAGUGGACGAGGAGCCGACAAGUGAGCCCCAGCUGCAUUGAUGGGGAGUAGGGGAGGGGUAGUGCAGAGCCCUCUGCUGGCUUCACCAAAGGCGGAUUUCUCUUUUUAUUAGUAAUUACUACAUAUAUUUAUUAGUAAUUGCUACAUACAAUUUAAAUUGUAGCGCUUAUUCCUUUUUUGGUUAAUGGGCUCCUUUAGAUAACUGAACACUGUGGACUCACAAGAAAAAUGUACAUGUACACAUGUAGAUAACACUUUACAUAUAAUUUCAGGAGAUUAAUGGAAACUCCAGAGAACCAUGGGCAACAGCUUAAGAAUUCCUGGCUGAAUAUUUACUCCUAUAUUUUGAACACAUAAGAAUGUGCUAUAUAGCAUAUUCUAGUUAUAACAGGGUAGAAAGAUAACACAAUAAUUCUUUCAACAAAUACAAUCCUGUUAUGCACAUGAGCCUGGGAUGAAAGCAGAAGCCUUCUGCCUUACAAAGAGACUCUUAAGUGCCCACUGUGGGCAGGGCAGGGGGUUCAGUGCUCUGGUGCAGCUGAGAUGAAAGGCAGAUGUCUUGCUCUUAGCUGUGAGUUAUGAGGAUGACAGACGUGGAAAGAACCAGGAUGUGUAUACUGAGGGAGGACUUAGUACUAUUAAAA
rnacentral:lncRNA from 1 species